CUACGGGGGGCAGCAGUGGGGAAUCUUAGACAAUGGGGGAAACCCUGAUCUAGCCAUGCCGCGUGAGUGAUGAAGGCCCUAGGGUCGUAAAGCUCUUUCGCCAGGGAUGAUAAUGACAGUACCUGGUAAAGAAACCCCGGCUAACUCCGUGCCAGCAGCCGCGGUAAUACGGAGGGGGUUAGCGUUGUUCGGAAUUACUGGGCGUAAAGCGCGCGUAGGCGGACUAGUCAGUCAGAGGUGAAAUCCCAGGGCUCAACCCCGGAACUGCCUUUGAUACUGCUAGUCUUGAGUUCGAGAGAGGUGAGUGGAAUUCCGAGUGUAGAGGUGAAAUUCGUAGAUAUUCGGAGGAACACCAGUGGCGAAGGCGGCUCACUGGCUCGAUACUGACGCUGAGGUGCGAAAGUGUGGGGAGCAAACAGGAUUAGAUACCCGCGUAGUC
rnacentral:rRNA from 1 species